rnacentral:lncRNA from 1 species
AGGAGACAGCCAUUGUCCUUCAGACCCCAGAAUGGUAGAUCCACCGACAGUUUGCACCAUGCACCUGAAAAAGCUACAGAAACUCAAUGCCAGCCCAUGAUAGCAGCUGGGAAGGAGGCUGUACCAUGCAAAAUCACAGGGGUAGAGCUGCCUGAAACCAUGGGAGCCCACCCCUUGCAUCAUUGUGAUCCGAAUGUGAGAUGCGAAAUAAAAGGAGAUGAUUUUGGAGCCAUUUGGGACACUGGGACCAACUGGUCAGGUCCCAGACCAGCUUUCUCACACAGCCAAGGUACUGUCCUUAGGUCUUUCUCAGGUCUAUAUGAGCU